CCUACGGGCGGCUGCAGUGAGGAAUAUUGGUCAAUGGACGAGAGUCUGAACCAGCCAAGUAGCGUGAAGGAUGACUGCCCUAUGGGUUGUAAACUUCUUUUAUAAAGGAAUAAAACGAGGCACGUGUGCCUUUUUGCAUGUACUUUAUGAAUAAGGAUCGGCUAACUCCGUGCCAGCAGCCGCGGUAAUACGGAGGAUUCGAGCGUUAUCCGGAUUUAUUGGGUUUAAAGGGAGCGUAGAUGGGUUGUUAAGUCAGUUGUGAAAGUUUGCGGCUCAACCGUAAAAUUGCAAUUGAUACUGGCAGUCUUGAGUACAGUAGAGGUAGGCGGAAUUCGUGGUGUAGCGGUGAAAUGCUUAGAUAUCACGAAGAACCCCGAUUGCGAAGGCAGCUUGCUAAACUGUAACUGACAUUGAUGCUCGAAAGUGUGGGUAUCAAACAGGAUUAGAUACCCCAGUAGUC
rnacentral:rRNA from 1 species